CACCUCAUCAGCCUGCCACACCUGCCAGUAGUCAACCUCAUACCUGCAUGUAUUUCAACCCCAGUUCUCCACACCAUUCUUGCUUGAUCGUCGUUGCUCCCAACCUGUUUCACUCACCCUCGUCCUCCGUCCAGUCGGCUGGGCUCUACCUGCGGUCCCCUCCUCCUCGGACUUCCCUCACGGCGUCCUCCCAGUCCUUCCUUGCCUCCCCGCUUCCUCGGCCUCAAUGCUCCCCAGCUCUGGUCCUAGUCUCCUCGGUUCCCUGUGCCUGCGUUUCCCCGGUAAUCUUUUCUCCCUCGGCUCCAGUCCCUAACCCCCCUUUUCUCAAUAAAACUUGCUUAAACCAAA